rnacentral:rRNA from 1 species
CAUUAUCGAAGCUAAGCGGCUCUAACCGGCUGUCUAACGCUACAAACCGUUGUCUUAGUAUUCUGAGGAGGCGGUCUGACGGCUGCUCCGAAUUGGUGUGCGCGUUUGGGUACCUCGUGUCUCGGGCUUAAUGAACCGCGGUUGCGGUCGCCCAAACGUGCUUUUUUUGUUUUCCCGUCGUGCACUCGUCACGGGUACCUUUCUCUGCCGACUCGCGUCGACAGGGUAGAGCUCGGUUAUUGCCAGGUUCAAAGAAUCGCCGUAGCGAUCGCCCAUGUACACGACAACCGUUCUACUCAAACCACGAUGUAUUACUAACACACAUCCGAGACAGACAGCGCGCCGACAGCGCGCGGUCUGUGUCGUUGCGACGUCGACCGGCACCGUUGCGCGGGUCGACGAGGCGCUUCGACGAAUGAUUGAACACGAUAACGAAAUGACAACUCUAAGCGGUGGAUCACUCGGCUCGUGUGUCGAUGAAGAGCGCAGCCAGCUGCGAGAAUUAAUGUGAAUUGCAGGACACAUUGAACAUCGAUAUCUUGAACGCAUAUUGCGGCCUCGGGUAAUCCCGAGGCCACGCCUGUCUCAGGGUCGGUUAGAGGUCAAUCGCGAGUCGUUCUCCGCUCGCGCUCUGGACGUCGCAGCACGCUUCGUGCCGCUGCGUCGUCUCAAGUUCAGACGGGUUGCUCGGUCGACGACGCCGGGACGAUGACUCGACUCUCGAAGAGCCCAUCUCUCUGCGUUCGGCGCAUCCGCGAUCCAAACGACGGCAAAUACAAAACGAUUUCGACCUGAGAUCAGACGAGAUUACCC